CUCACCUCUCAGAACCAGAUCGUGAUGCAGCAUUUUCGGAGCUGCCUGCUCCUGCCUGGUCUCACCUGGAUUCUUUGCAGUCUUCUUCACUCGGGAUCAAUCCAUCACAGCCGUUCCUUGGCGUCCUCUCCAUACCUGCCGCCUCAAGUUCUCCCUGGUUUUCGUCCACCUGAGGUCCUCCAGCAUCGAUAGAUCAGCGGACUCGGCUCUAACCCACUUCACCAUAGCCUGGUGUCCAUGAAACCCUCCUGCAGGCAUUCUAGUCCACACAUGAGCCACUCGCAACAAAGUGCUGCCAAGUGUAGCAUGAAGUGGAUUUCACAUCUAUAGAGACGACGGUCUGAUUCAACCUGAUGCCAGAACGUGGUUUAUUUUUGCUUAAUAGUAAUUUAUUUUCAAUCAUUCACAAUAGAUGUACUGCCCAUAUGACCUUCUAGCACAGGGGUGUCAAACAUGUGGUCCGCGGGCCACAACCGGCCCUCCAGAGGGUCCAAUCCGGCCCGCAGGACGAUUUUGUAAAGUGUAAAAAUUACAGAGAAGACAUUAACUGUAAAAUGUAAAUUUGUAAAACUAUAAAUUUAAAAUGAUUUCUAGACCAUGACAAGUUGUUUUCAUUAUAAAGUAAAAUAUUAGAUUGCUCAUUGCUUGUUUGUCUUUGAAAUAUUUUAUCUUGUUUUUUGUCUUUUUUUUUUGUCUGACUUUUGACGUCUGUCUCAUGUUUUUGUUUUGUGUUUCCCUUGUAUCAUUUCUGUAAUUUCUUGUCUGGUUAUUGUCGCUUUGUAACUUUGUCUAAUUUUUUGUCCCUUUUUUUGUUUGUCUAAUUUUUUGUCAUUUUGUUUCUCGUUUUUGUCUCUCUUGUGUUUUUUGUCUUAUCUUUGUCAUUUCAUGUUUCGCUUUGUGUUUUUAUGAUUUUGUUUUUUGUCUAGUUUGUGUUGUUUGUCUACCUUUUUGUUUUGUUUCUCGCUUUUGUUGUUUUGUGUUUCCUUUUUGUGUGGCUUGUAUCUUUUCUCUUAUCUUUUGUCGCUUUGUACCUUUUUUUUGUAGAAUUUUUCAUCUCUUUUUUGUUUUGUUUCUAGACCAUGACAAGUGGCUUUGAUCAUAAAGUAGAACACUAGAUUGUUCUUUUGCCAUUUUGUGUCUUGUUUUUGUAAUAUUUUGUCUUGUUUUGUUGUCUGACUUGAUCAUUUUGAUUAUCAAGUAAAAUACUCUAUCAUUCAGUUCCAGACACUCCAUGAUCUGGAAGUUGUAAUGUGAAAAUGAUAAACUGAG
ensembl:lncRNA